GACGAUCCUACGGGAGGGCAGCAGGUGGGAAUAUUGCACAAUGGGGAAACCCUGAUGCAGCCAUGCCGCGUGUGUGAAGAAGGCCUUCGGGUUGUAAAGCACUUUCAGUAGGGAGGAAGGUAGUGUAGUUAACACCUGCACUAUUUGACGUUACCUACAGAAGAAGCACCGGCUAACUCCGUGCCAGCAGCCGCGGUAAUACGGAGGGUGCGAGCGUUAAUCGGAAUUACUGGGCGUAAAGCGCAUGCAGGCGGCCUGUUAAGUCAGAUGUGAAAGCCCGGGGCUUAACCUCGGAAUUGCAUUUGAAACUGGUAGGCUAGAGUCUUGUAGAGGGGGGUGAGAAUUUCAGGUGUAGCGGUGAAAUGCGUAGAGAUCUGAAGGAAUACCAGUGGCGAAGGCGGCCCCCU
rnacentral:rRNA from 1 species